CACGAAUUAUUUGUAAAUAGUUCUAAUAAACCAUACUCGCACCUUCCGAAUUACGAGGCUUACUCAGCUUUUCCCAAUUUUUAGUUAAAAGGUCGUGUAGCCAUGCAUAGUUGUUUCUCAUAUCAGCUAUCGAGCAACGCAAUGAGACCCAAUAUCUCUCAUCUAAUUCUCUGACUGCUUCCACAUAAUCCUCAACGUUGGGAUAUUUGAUUAUUUUCGAUGAGAGCCUCGCCCUUUCAGAAUAGUACUUACAUACGCUUUCGUACAAUGAAAAUGUUGCAUCUUCAACUCUACCAAGCUCCUGGAUAGUCUCUUCUUGUAUUCCUACUCCGAAAUUAUUUCCGUCUUGAAUUUGGGGAAUAUUUAGUUGUACCCAUAAUUUUAUAGAACUAACCAUUUCAAUUAACUCACUAACUUCCUGUUUAACAUAGGCGACUAGUUCUUUAAUCUGCAGAUUCGAAUAAACUUUGCCAUUACCGUUAUUAACAGGCUUUAACUCCUCAGAAGAUAAAACUGAUCCUGGUUUAUCAGAAAUUUUCAUUCGAUUGUUUAGUUGAACUAUUUUGGAUGGAAUCCGUUCUCUUAAAUGUAUCGUAACCUGCUCAGACAAGUCCUUCCGGAAUUCCAUGCACCCCUUUUUAACUUCUGAAUCAAUUAUCUCAAUACUUGAGAGAGAUAUGGAUGAGUAUUCACUCCAAAGGGUAGAUUCUCUUGGUCGUUUAUUCAUUGAAAAAAAAAAUAUUGUAUUUGACUAAAAAUGAGAUGUGUAGAAUGAUUAGGCGCCUAAUUAAUGGCAAUAAAAAC
rnacentral:antisense_RNA from 1 species